AUGUAUGUAUGCGUCUGUUUGCACCUACUCUUAGUUUGCAAGAAUAGACAGCAUUAUGAAAGCGCUGUUGCGCCUUUUCGAUGGAACGCAACGAGUGCGAAGCGUUGGCGCAACACGAUGGCAUGCGACUUAUGGAGCGAAGGCGCUCAAGCACAAGGAUAUGCUAGCAAAGUAUGGGGAUCUCACAGUGGUGAAAGACGAUCUCACUUUGCUGGAGAAGACGGAGUCUUACAUUGCGAAGUGGCGCCUGAACAGGUGGGAGUUUCGAGUUCCGCCUCUUCUCUACCCAUCAGAGCGAGAAAAGGUAAUGCUACAGCACGAGACACUCAAAGCUCUUUGCCUGAAUCGAGCAGAAGAGCACAAGCACGUUUUGGGUGAUAUUCAAAUAGUGGCAGCCAUAACCGGUAUUUCGCCGGAGAGUGUUAGGGAGAAGAACCGUGCGUGGCUUCAGGAAGAGGCUUCCAAACUUCGAUGGAAAGGCGAGGUCAACAAGGCAAAGGAGCUCCGAGACGCUUUUCUGCGCCUAGAGGUGUACGGUUCUCGAGAUCAUCGCUUGCUGGAGCGACUUUGUUGCAUUUACGGCAUGGGCAUGCAAGGUACAUUUGAUGAGGCGUUCAGCAACAUAAUUGUUCAAGACCCGUCGACUGGAAAGCUCUAUGUCGACGAAGCGAGCCCAUUUGCCGAGCUGCAGGCGUACAUUCUUUCUCGCUAUCCGCAAAUUGAUUUAAUCCACGACUUUCUAGGACUCAAUGUAGUUUCAGGAUACCGACCUUCAUUAGGCCGCUUUCUCAUUCACUGUCUGUCCAAGAAGAAUAGCAUUUCAAACCCCGUUUCCAAUGGACGCGUUCUUUUGCAUGUGAGCGCGAGCAAAGAGACAUUGUUUGAUUACGGGGACAGCAAGAAUCAGAUCACGCACGACGACUCCAUCUAUGGACUGCCUGACUUUAUGUACGUCCGCGGAAGCGACAUUUUUCUGAUUACAAUCUCAGCUGACAAUCACUGGCUCCGCAAACGGCAAGUGCCGCACAACAAGCAACUCGAGGGAAUUGCGAGGCGCUGCAGCUUUGUUCUGGGCAUUCCGCUCGACAAGGUGCGCAUCCGCAACCUUCUGCUUCCGCCGAACUACGUAGACUCGAGCUCGCUUCGUCGCCUUACGGAGACCGUUUUGGAUAUGUCACCAGCUUCUGUGAAGGAGGCAGUGCCGUGGAUUUCUUUGUACGAGAAGGAGCUUGAUGCACAGGAUGUGGACUACUGCGAGUUGGAGAAGACAGUAAAUGAGGAAGAGUGGCUGACGCUUUAGCGAAGCUUCGACGCCGAUGAAAAUCUGCGCAUCGUGUAUGUGCCGCAUCUCAGGUGUUUUUCUUUCAGCGAAGGUUGUCUUGUCGUUGUUGGGUGACGCACAUAAAAAAAAAACAUACAGACGACAAGCAGUUUAUCAGAAUCAUGACUUGGAAGGCUGAAUCAUUUCAGUGUCUGAGACAGCUGUGGAGUAAGCGUGCUUUAUCACCUUGAUGCCAUGUCUGUUUUUGUUU
rnacentral:misc_RNA from 1 species